GGCGAAGGGAAAUGGCUGUGGGAAACAACAGGGUUCUUUAACUGUUUCAACCUCUGUUACCAGCUCACCCUCGCCACCCGGGAACUCCUGACGAAGGAAUGCCUGACCCAAGCUCUUACGCAUCUCUUCAGGCUGACUUGUCUCCUCUCCCCGCAACCCGUAGGUUUUGUUGGCUUGCAUGGAAUCAAAAUAUGAACUCAGAGAUUAAAUUGAUUUCAUUACUUCGGAAUUAUCCAUACCGAAGGUUCCUCCCUUGCGAACGUGUUACGGGCGGAGACAUGGCGACACGUGGCUCAGGGAGAUGGCAAGGAGAUCGUUGACUUCGAGGUACGUGGGCAAGGAUUAAAGCUAAUUCCAACAAGUAAGAUGUUGUUACUUGAACCGCCUGUAUGCUUGGACUAGGUAAUAAUGCAUUGGUCUACUAAUAUGUAUGUAACUGUCUUCGUUUAUUCAGUCUCAGUGCAUAAAUCAUAUUCAUUAUCAGGAAAAUCAUAUAUUCAUAUUAUAUUGUUUUUAACGUUAGUAUUUGGUAAAUAAUAAAUGUGAAUAAAAGAAAAUAUCCUUGACUUUUUUCUUGUAUGCUAUAGAAUACUUACAGA